AAGUAUGAGAGGAUAUUAGAAAGGCCAUUGUUUUGUUGUUUGAUGGUGCUGCUAUCUAUAGUAUUUUUGCAGUAACAAUUGUAUCGACGAUUGCUAAACGUCCGCUAGAUUUAAGCUUCACACAGAGCACCAUUUAUUGAAACUGUUGCCGAUUUCAUUCUUUACUGGGAUUCGGUUAGGACAUGUUUGCGAAUAUGGUCCACGAGUAAAGUUACAGUUACAUCAAAAUAGGGCAUUGCUUAUUUGCUACCUAAACUGCACAUCUUGGAAUACAACAUAAAAUGAAAUGUUUAAGGCCCAAGCUGGAUUCUACUGUUGAUCUGAUUCCAUUACAAACCAUACCACCAUGGCGUCGCUGUUGGCAGUAGUAAAAGUUGUAAUGUGAAAGAACAUUGACUCAUCAUAUUUUAGUUACCUAUUGAAGUUGUGCAGUUUUAUUACUUUUUGUUAAUGAGGUUGAGUUGUGGAUUUUUCAGCAGCAAAUGUAUUCAGAUAGGUACCAUCCAUCCAAUGGAAAGGCAUUCUUUACAUUGGGGCUAACAUUCGCUGUGUGUGAUGUAGGGACAUGUGCAUUAUGGUUGCAAUCUUAUAUAUAUUUAGAAGGAAAAAAACCAGGUUUUUGAAGUGAAACUUCUUUGCUGAGGCACUACAAUUUUCGAGCGUUACGAAAAUUCCGAUCGUAUGAGGAGAAUAGUUAGUUAGGUGUUGGGGGAAGCGGUUAGGGAGGAGAGUGCGUCAGCAGCGUCGCCAAUCCAAUGCAUGAACUAGCGAAUGAAUGGAAGAUUGAAAAGGGGGAAGGGGGAAUAGUUACGUAGCAUAGCAUGCUCCUAUAUGCUAGUUGUAAAGGCCAGAAGGAGAGACAGCAUGAAAGAGUUAGACAGGAUACGGCAGUGAUGCUACGAAAUUCUCAUAAUGAUGUAUAUUUGUACACUCCUCAAUUUACGUAAGGCUAACGAUUGAUGCUACAAUAUUUUUUAAUUAAAGUGUCUACAAAUUAUUUGUUUGUAAAAGAAUUAUUGUUUUGUGGAACUAACUUUAUAAUUAUUAUUCAUCCUUAUUAGAAUAGUGUGAUUUAAAAUGUUUAAAUGACCUAAAGACUUAAGAGGUUAACUUUAAUAUUGGUAUUAAGUUUCUUUUUGUAAACACUGUGGUUUUAAAUGUUAAAAGGAAUCAUAGAAGUGUAAGGUUUACUUAAAAGUGUAAUUUAUGUUUGAUUGGAGUUUUUUCCCCUGUUAUUUCAAUUUAUUCAGCUGGAUAUUGUAGUUUAACAUCGAGCCUAAUAAUAAUAAUAAUAAUAAUAAUAAUAAAUGGCAGAAGCAGAAAAAAUUACUGGUUUUGAAUUUUUACAGUGACUUAAGUUAUGGUUUUGGGCCGUAUUCCAAGACACAAAAAUAAGGGUUUAGGUGAUGAAUAUGCGAUACCUGUACCCUAACCAUAUUCCAAGUGCAUGAUAGGACACGGCCAGUCCCUUAUUUUUAGGGCACUGAUUUUUGGUGUCCUAUCUGUUGCCGUUUUGAUCCAUAACUGUAUAUAUAUUUUAUCCUUUCUAAUGAACUUUAACGUAACUUUUACGAUUACAAUUUCCCCCUAAUAUCUUAAAAAACAGCAAACAUUAAUACGGCCAAAAAUUCAUCGUUUAUUCUUGUACAACCAAAAUAAAAUAUUUUAUUUCACAUUAUAAUUCCAUAGUUUUAAAAUAUAAGCUAAAAUUACGAUGGAUUCCACGAAGUACAACUGUUUAUAGCCUCGUACAAGUCCUUGUUUAUUAAAACGGCAGCCGAUCUGAUACCUUCCAGGAGAUCAGUUAGGUCACGUUUUGGAAUAUGACCCGAAAGUUAGGGUAUGGCAGUUGCCCAACAAGGCAGUGCAUAUUCGCUACCUUACUGAAACGUCUUGGAAUACCGCCCUAGGUGUGCAAAAUAUUUUCAAUUUUAAUAAUUUAAGACCAAAUGUUAGUUAUGUUGCCCCAUUUUCAAUUUGGAUAGUAAAAUAUUCUAGGUUAUAAUGAAUUUUUUGAACUUAUUACUUGAAUAUUUGGUUUUAACAUCGUUGUUUUAAAUAUUCACUUCAUGAAUAUACUUCUUAGUAAGUAGCUUUCAAGCUGUUAAAUUAACUUAUAGGAUAUACACAAUUUUUCAUAUAUGUAUUGUUCUUUUUCUAAUAAAUUGCUACCCAAAGCUACUCCAACUUAAAACUUGCAAGUCACUCCAAUGACUUAAAAUUCCUUAGUUUUACCAGCACAGGUGCCAAAAUUGUCAUUCAAUAUAAUAAAAAAGUUACAGUAGUAAAUUAAAAACUAAUGUGUUAUGUCUAUAAUAAUUAGUAAAAAAGAAUGUACCUACAAUUUUGACUGUAAAUAAUAUUUAACAUAGCUUCUAUUUUGUCAAACAAUAAGUUGUAUUAUAAUCAAAGUUGUAAAUUAUAUUUUUAUGUUUGUACUUUACAAAUAUUAUAUGACAUUUUGAAGAUUGUUCCUGACUAGUUAUUUACAAUUAUGGUUUUUCUGUUAUUUUAAUAUGACUAACAUUUCUGAAUGGUUAUCAUUAUAUUUUCCUCCUUUAUUUAAUUUGUAAGCAUGAUCCAAAUGGUUUAGUCCCAUAGUGGUGUUCUGUCUCACCUCCAUAUCUCACCAUUUAGCAUUUUAUACUUGCCCAGUUACCAUUUACUAACCAAUGCGAAAAUCAUUGCAAUCUCUAGGCAAUCGAUGGUUGUAUAUGUAAUAACCAGCAAUACCUAACCUGAUAUUUCUAAGUCCGCUUAGUUUACAUCUCGGACCAGUUACAAUCGGGAGGCAACCCGCCAGCAAUAGUCUCUCGGUUUUUCUACCAUCACAUAUCUGUUUCAGUAGUAUUUUAGUGGCUUGUUAAUUUAGUUACAGAAAUGGCAGCUAGGAUAUAGUGAAUCACUUAUGAAUAGAGGAGAAAAACAUCUAUUAGGAAAGGCAUGCAUGCAGGGUAGGUUGCCACAGGGGCAAGAUGCAUACUUUUGCCAUAGUUCCAGCAGGCUAGUACACGAGGACCCUUGUGAGUUUUGUGGUAGUUUGAGGGAUGCGUGGUCUUGUGUGGUGUGCCAGUAGAGAAGUGAAUGUAAAACACAAGCGAACAGUUUAUUGUGUCGAGCACGUGAGUGGUGGAUUCUUUAUGGUCUCUAUGACGAUCAAUAGUGGGAGUUCGCCACAUGUCUCGCACAGUGCUUUGAUUUCAUCAUGGCUGUACUGAGCGUCAGGGCUCGCUUCUACGGCGAGGCUCCAUGGGACACGGAGUCGGUAGAGCAAUAUGUGAUGUCAAGUUGCAGCUUUAUUGUUGCUUAGAUCUGGUGAAUUGCUGGAGGGAGCAUUCCGGACGUGACUGUGCUGGUGCGGGAAGAAUUGCCGGCAAUAUUGCAAUGGGACUGUGUAAGAGUAUGUGCGACAAGCCGUAGCCACAGAGGGCAACCUGUAGUUCCUUCUGGGACAGUGGACACUCACAAACACUGUCAGAUGAGAGACCAGAUAACAGUUCAGGACUUCCGCACUCCCAGAUGGAGAGGCACAACCCGAAUGUCCAAGGCAGAUUGCACCUUGGGUGAUAGAAGCCCCAAGACAAUGGAACAACAGCAACGACAACUACAUCAACAAUAACAAGCAGGAAACAGGCAUUCAGGGCUAUAGGACCAACCAUUCUGCCUUCUACACCACCACACCCCCUUCCACUAGUCAUAGAUGAAACACGUCUCACUAUGCCAGACAAUCGGCUAAUAGGGUCCUUGUAACUCUGAAUAGGAAACAGACGACCGCUCUCAUAGACACAGGUGCAUGCCAUGUGUUUUUGGCUCCACACGUGGGGCCACCAGCAGAUGUCACACUGAGCUUCUGUGCGCUGCACCUGGCCAUGAACUCCAGAGUUGGGACAGCAUAGAAGAUGCCAUCAUAACAGCGAGUGUGAGGGAGCUGGUUACCCAAACCCCUGCAAUUGUUGUAGAGGGACACAGGGAGGUUCUGGUGCUCGGGCAGCCUUGGUUGGUGGAGCCUGACAGGGAUAGCACUGACCUCGGGCUAUUAAAUGUCGGCAAAUGAGUGCCUGGUAGUGUAUGCACUACUUCCACCUACUGUUAAUGAGUCUAUAAUAUGUUGACAAUGAUGCACUCCUUGAAUAUCACGAGGCAUUUAGGUGUUUGUUGAGGGAAAGGCAGAGCAUCUUUGCCACUGCUGAACACCCAGUUUUACAAUGGUGAGAGAACUCCGAAUAACUAAAAAAUAUUAUCAGCUAGUGUAUGAAGCCCCCAAGGGAAAUUAUUUCUGCAAGAAAUGGUUGAUAUGCGAGAAGGUCCACAAGAUGUUGCGAGAUGGUGCCAUCGAGCAAUCUAAAAGCGCACCCAACUCCCGUAUUAUCCUACCUUUUAAGAAGGAUGGAACCAUGGGUUUCUGAAUAGACUCCCAAUCACUGACCAGUGUAAUAGCUUUUUUCCUCCACCGCAGACCUGUGUUGACGAGGCCUUGGUAGUCCUGGGCAGCGCCCGUGCGUUUUUACGACCAUCGACUUAUGUUCCAUUUAGUGACAGGUGCCUAUCAACCCUGUUGACAGAGAGAAAAUCACAUUCACUGUGCCCAAUGGUAAAUGUUUUCAGUUAUGUGCCAUGUAUUAUGGGCUCAAGAACGUUAUGGCUACAUUUCAAUCUAUGAUAGUCUGCACACUGGAAGGGUUCAUUGGCCAUUUUGUGACAUUUCAUCGACGAUAUGAUAAUGGACUUAGUAACCACAUUAAACCACUUUGGCACCUGUUCCUGGUCCUAUAGCAACUCGAUGUGCACCACUGGAUCUGCGCCACAAAAAGGUGCUAGAUUGGACAGAGAUGUGUAUUUAUUGGGGCACAUUUUAUAUGCAGAUGGUAAUUGUCUUCCCCCGACACCUGGUGAAAAUUCUGUAGCAAAAGACCUUAGAACUCGCAAGCAACUGCAUAAGUUCUUGGGCCUUGCCAACUGGAUUCAUAAUUACAUUCCAGAUUUCUCCACACUCACUGCCUUCCUGACAGAUCUGUUGUCACCGCGACAGUGCCACCACUGGGCCCCGGCCAUACAGGUUAGGCUGAACAGUUUGUAGGUGGCUUUUUCCCGAUGCCACACUCUCGCGGAUAAACCUUGAAAGAGUGCUGUAUGUCCAGAAGAACGCGAGCGCUAAGGGGUUGGGUUCAAUGCUAUAUCAACAUGGUGAAAAUGAACACAGGUGCAUGAUUGACUUCACCAGCACCAAGUUUGGCCGUACAGAAUGUAACUACCACAGCAAUGAACUGUAUUGUUUGGCAGUAGUACUUUGAGGAACCGGAAAAAUUGAUACAAAUUAUAAAUCAUUAGGGUCUCGCAUGUGGUGGCUGGUUUUAAGUCAAUACUUUUUUCUGUUGUAUGAGUGUCAGGCAGUCUGAGUAGAAGCAGACGAUGCCUCUUUGGAUAUUUUGUUGAUGGCUGAAUAAUAUAUUUUAAAAGAGUUACUUGUUAUUGUUUUUUUAUAUGUUUUUCUCAUAACCAGGAACCUUAUUUCUAUAUAUAAACUGCUAAGAGGUAGAUUUUAUAACUACAUAAUUUAUAGUUUUUAGUUAUAUUUUGUUUUAAAAGAAAAUUCCUGUGAAUCUGUUAUGUUAUAAGUUGUGUUUGCUCUUUGGAAUUGAAGGGAUAAGAAAAAAGAAUACAAGAAGAAAAUUGCCUGUCAUUGUGCUUGUUUUUGUAAUGGAAAUAAAUAAAUAAUUUUAAUAAAAUGGUUUCAUUACA